UACAGAGGGUGCGAGCGUUAAUCGGAUUUACUGGGCGUAAAGGGCGCGUAGGCGGUUGUGUGAGUGUGAUGUGAAAGCCCCGGGCUUAACCUGGGAAGUGCAUCGCAAACGACAUAACUGGAGUAGGUGAGAGGGUGGCGGAAUUUCCGGUGUAGCGGUGAAAUGCGUAGAGAUCGGAAGGAACGUCAAUGGCGAAGGCAGCCACCUGGCACCAUACUGACGCUGAGGCGCGAAAGCGUGGGGAGCGAACAGG
rnacentral:rRNA from 1 species